rnacentral:lncRNA from 1 species
AUUAAUGCCUGUUUAGCAAAUUACAGCUUCCCCGGCACCUCCUGCUCCUGGGAGAGAAGGAGCCUUGGAAACGGAAAAUAAAAACAAAUCUCAGCGCUCCGUGUCAAGGCUUGGCCGUGGCCAUGACAGCUGGGCCCGACUCGACAGAGCGUGGAGGCUUAGCAAAGCCAGGAACUCAGAGACGGAAUCCAGGGAUUACGGCGACUUUUGCUCCAGCCACGUGGGGUUCUUGAGAGAUGGAUGUCGGAGAUGGUGGCAGGUGAACGCUCAGCCGAUCGUGUGGGAAUAAACUGCCCACAGAGGAGCUCCCUUGUGGCCUAGUGGGUUAAGGACCUGGCCUUGUCACUGCUGUGGCUUGGGUUCGAUUCCUGGUCGGGGAAGGGGGAACUUCCGCCUGCCAAGGGAGCGGCCACACACAAAAUAGGGAGUGAGCCCACAGAGAAGGCUGAGGACAGGUCUGAAGGGAGAGAGCCCGCUGCAGGCACAGGAGUGGCCCUGAUGUCGCUGAUGGAGGGCCCCAGGACUCCCAGUUUCUGUGCAGGCCAGCCAGCGGGGUCCACUGUGAGCUCGGGUG